rnacentral:lncRNA from 1 species
AAAAAACAACUAAAUGGGGUCCAGUUCAAGUUGUUCGGGCGAGUGCUAGAGUAGUUGGAGGUAAAAGGACUAUAAUUGAGAAAUCUCAACAACUCAAAGAGGUACAAGACUUGAAAGUGCAGAAAGGGCAAGGUAAAACUAAUGCUCCCUACUCCUUGUUUAACAACCCCUAGAUCCUUACUAUUGCUGCUAAAGUUGGAAUAGAUAUUGAUUUACCUAGCUCUAGUCCUUUGUCUCUUAGUUUAAUAGUUAAUGAAAAUGGCACAACCCAAGACAUGGUUGUGGGCCAUGUUGCUGGAAAUGCUAAUUUCGAUAGCACGCAUGUGGAUACUGUUAAUGCAGAUCCUCAAUCUAGCCCCAAUGAGGGUAUGUGGUCUUUAGUUUGCAAACGUAGAUGGGGCAAGCACAUCAAAACUAUGGUGAUUCAAUGAAUGCACUUUUUUGGAACGUGAGGGACAUUAAUACCCCUCGUAGGAAGCAUCUAAUUGUAGACACUAUUAACAAAACUCACGCAACCAUCCUAGGUUUCCAAAAGACCAAGAAAGAGGAAUUUCACACCUCAUACUUGAAAUCCCUGGUAGGAGUUAGAGAUUUUGAAUAGCAUCACCUCCCAUCAAAAAGGCUCUGCUGGAAGCAUCCUAACGGGGGUUAAUUUGGAGGUUUUUGAAGUAAUUUCCUAGUCACACCUAGAUUUCUCUGUCAGCUGUCUUUUAAAGCUUAGAUUUAAUGAUCAAACUUUUAUGGUGCUGAUUGUUUAUGGCUCACCUUAUGAUGAGGGUAAAGAAGCCUUUCGUUCUGAACCAUAUACCUUGUUUGUUGAUAAUCAUGUUCCCUCCUUAAUUGGUGGUGACUAUAAUUUAGUCAAGAAAGCUAGUGAUAAGAGUAAUGGAUUCAUUAAUCAUAGAUGGAGUACCAGCUUUAAUGCCUGGAUAGAGAUUUGAGGCCUCUUAGAAAUUAAUCUCUCUAAUAGAAAAUUUACCUGGGCUAACAAUCAGGAGGACAUUAUUAUGUCUACUAUUUACAGACUUUUCUAUGAUACUGAUAUGGAUAAGUUGUUCCCAAUAGCUUCUUGUAGAGCCCUACCCAGAUGUGGUAGUGAUCGCACUCCCUUGCUUUGGGACUCUAGUAUGGACUCCCAUCCUAAGAAAAGUAGUUUCAAAUUUGAGAAAUGGUGGCUUUUAAAUCAUAUUUUGAUGCACUAGUCCAUAAGAUAUGGACUGAGUACAACAAAACUGGCUCCCUCUUAGAAGAUUGGCAAGGAAAAAUUAGAAAACUUAGGAGAGUCACUAUGGGGUGGAGCUCUAAUGAGGAAGCAAAUCUUAGGAGAUAUAAGAGAAUCCUUAUAGCAGAAUUUGAUGUACUAGAUGUUAAGGCAGAAACCACUGAUCUCUCUGAGUCUGGGUUCUCCAGGAUGAAAUUCAUCCAAACUAAACUUCAGAAAAACUGGCUUCAAGAGGAAAUAAAAGCCAAACAAAGAUCCAGAGAUAGAGAGAUCAAAAAAGGGGAUAGGAACACUGCUUACUUUCAGGCAGUAGCCAACCAGAGAAGGAGGAAAAUAUUGAUCCACUCUCUCGGUAGCCUUAAUGGGCCUUUUACUCACAUUAAAGGCUUGCUCAACAUUGCCAGUGACUUCUAUAAAGAUCUUUUUUAAAAAGAACCUAGCGGUGGCUUCAAAGUUAGGGAUGAUUUUUUCUCUGCUGAUGACAUGGUUACUCAAGCUGAAAAUGACAGUCUAGAAUCCCCUUUAUCUGAAGAGGAGGUCAAAAAACCUAUGUUUGAAUCUUACCCAGAUGGAGAUCCUGGUCCUGAUGGGAUCGCUUUUUUGCUUUUACCAACACUUCUGGGAGUUGAUCAAACAUGACCUUUUGUCCAUGUUUGAAGAAUUCCACAAAGGUACACUUGAUAUCUCCUUAAUUCCUAAGGAGCCUGAUGCUAACACCAUGAACAAAUUCAGACCUAUUAGUCUGAUUAAUUAUAGUUUCAAAAUCUUUUCCAAGGUCCUCACUAAUAGAUUGGCUAAAAUCUUGCAAAGACUGAUUGCUAGUAGCCAGUCUGCAUUCUUGAAAGGUAGGUAUAUCCUGGAGAGUGUGGUAACUGCUUAUGAAGUGUUGCAUUCGGUACACUCUAGCAAGAAACAAGGGCUUGUUUUAAAGCUUGACUAUGAAAAAGCCUUUGAUAAAGUAGACCUAGAUUUUUCAGCUGACCUCCCAAAGAAGAGGGGCUUUGGGAACAAAUGGUUACAUUGGAUCCACCAGCUCACUCAUGAUGGCUCUGUUGGAGUCAAAAUGAAUAAUGUAGAAAGUGAUUUCUUCCUGGUUGGGAAAGGCCUCAGGCAAGGGGGCCCAAUCUCACCUCUCCUUUUUAAUUUGGUAGUGGAUGUCCUUACCAAAAUGCUAACUAAAGCAGCAAGUCAUGACUUGAUCUCUGGGCUCUGCACUAAGGUUUGCCCUGGUGGGAUUAUCUGUUUGCAAUAUGCAUAUGACAGUAUCCUUUUUCUUAACAAUAAGAUUUCUCAAGCUAACAACCUUAAGACAGUCCUGGCCUGCUUUGAACAAGUCUCUGGUAUGAGGAUUAACUAUAGUAAAAAUGAACUACCAAUUAAUAAACAUGACUCUAUUUUUCAAGAUUUCCUUGCUACUUUAGAGAUCCUUCCUCGACUCCCUACGAGAAAGCAAUCCCGGAGCCACAUAUCUCGAGUAUCCAUUUGUAGUUGUAUAAGAUCAAGAUAUAAGUCUGAACGUCCGUUACCAUGGACACGGCUAUUAAUAGAUAAUCUUCCCUGUAGGGGUGCACCACGUUUCCCAACACGCUCUAUCACUCUGGCUGGACACACCUUUCUGGAGUCAAUCCCCGGCUUCGGAAGAUCAACACGUCGCAGCCCUACCUAGGCUCAGCAGAGAGGUCCCCGCCGGUCUACAUCCUAAGCACACCGCGGUCUUGGGCCCAUCGCCCGCAGCACUCCGGGUCGUUGUGCGAUGAGCCGGGACGAGCACCACCUCAUACUGGAUGGCACUGGCCCGACAGGCCCACGAUGCUAAAUUGGAUGUCUGACAAAGCUUCGGCUGAUACUACGACGUUGAGGCCCAUAACUAUUCUCGCGUGGUGGUUAGUGCGUAAAGGCCAAAGGCCAACUCAGAACAAAUACCCAAACCAUAGUGUAUUAUUAGCUUGCGGAGACAAGCAGAGACUCACGAUCGAAGUGACCCCGUCGCCCCGUUUCGUGGACUUACGACAAGGACCCAGAAUGCCCGACCGUGCAAUGUCAUUAUCUUGCGGGUGCUCUCCGGGACCGCCCGACUUUCACCAAGGUCUCAAGUAAAGUCAUUGUAACCUGUGUCCAAACAUUAAGGGGAAAUCCCGAGGAAUCACCCCUCGUGGAUUCCACUCAAUGUAAUCAUCAAGGUGAACGUAAGAGAAACCACCCUCGAGGUUCACACUUGAGGUGUUGCACGACAGAGCCGUAUCAGGAAUGGUGAAGGAGGAACCACCCUCGAUGACCACGACCAAAUAGCUAUACUGUAGAGAUCUCAUCAGGAGUGAUGUAUGAGGUUCCACCCUCAGCACUCGAUAGUAACUCUGCAGAGUCGAGCAACAAAAGGGGCGUGAUGUGAUGUGAGGUGUCGGGCUCUGGUCGUCGACCACGUUGAUCGAGUCGACCGUCAUCGAUGAUGAAGCAGGGGAAACAAGGACAAGGUGGGGGUAACUGAUGGAUCACUAACCAACCUAUACUAAGCAGUUUAGGAUAAGCAAGUAGGUAACAAUAGCAGGUACAAAAGCAGGCUAUGCAUCAGAAUAGGAGCAAUCAAUUACAGUAGCAAAAUCUAAUGCAAGCAUGAGAGAAUAGAAUGGGCGAUAUUGGGAUGAUCAAGGGGGGCUUGCCUGGAAGCUACGCUGAAAGGGAAGAAGGGGCGGCGUCGAUGUAGUCGAUCGCAGGGGCAUCAGCAGCGGUCUCGGGGUCUACCGGAGAGAAGAGGGGGAAGAAACAGUAAAUAUAAUGCAACAGAUAUAACACAGAUGUAUGACAGGGUAACACGCAGAGCUAGGGGUGUUCUAAUGGGGUGCUACACGAUACCGGUGAAGUGAGACAACAUCCGAGAAAGUUUUCCCGGUUCCGGACGUCUGUUAGACAAAUGAGCCGGAGGGGAAAAGUGCAACGUUUUCUAUGCUAGGGACGUGUGGCAGGUGAAUGGACCGCUGGUUCAGAUUUGUCUCGUCGUUCUGAGCAACUUUCAUGUAGAAAGUUUUUCGAUCCGAGCUACGGUAUAAUUUCUAUGAUUCUCCGAAGAUUUAAUGAUAUUCUGCAAUUUAACUUAAUUCGAAAAUAAUGAGUAAAUGCUAGGUGCACCUAGAUCUGUGUACACAUAAGUGUACCAGAGGGUGACAUGUGGGUCCAGGGGGUCCCAGUUGACGAGUCAACGUUUGACUGGUCAACAGGGGUGUGGGGCCACCCCGUCAUUGACUACUAACUAAUUAACUAAUUAAUUAGGUAACUAAUCAGGUUCAUUAAGUUAAGUUAAUUAAACUAAUUAAUUAAUCAAUAUUUAUUUAUUUCAUUAAUAUUAUAUUUAUAUUUUUAUAUUUUUCUUUUUAUUUAUACUUUUUUUGUUCUUAUCCAGGGGCUGGGCCCCGUGUGUCAUAGGCACAGGGGCCAAUGGGUCGGGCAAACGGGUGCUGGGGCACGGGCGACGGUGCUCAGCGGGGCGGAGGGGCGAGGCCGGCCGACCGGGGCUAUGCCCAGCAGCGGCGAGGCCACGGCGGGGCGGCNNNNNNNNNNNNNNNNNNNNNNNNNNNNNNNNNNNNNNNNNNNNNNNNNNNNNNNNNNNNNNNNNNNNNNNNNNNNNNNNNNNNNNNNNNNNNNNNNNNNNNNNNNNNNNNNNNNNNNNNNNNNNNNNNNNNNNNNNNNNNNNNNNNNNNNNNNNNNNNNNNNNNNNNNNNNNNNNNNNNNNNNNNNNNNNNNNNNNNNNNNNNNNNNNNNNNNNNNNNNNNNNNNNNNNNNNNNNNNNNNNNNNNNNNNNNNNNNNNNNNNNNNNNNNNNNNNNNNNNNNNNNNNNNNNNNNNNNNNNNNNNNNNNNNNNNNNNNNNNNNNNNNNNNNNNNNNNNNNNNNNNNNNNNNNNNNNNNNNNNNNNNNNNNNNNNNNNNNNNNNNNNNNNNNNNNNNNNNNNNNNNNNNNNNNNNNNNNNNNNNNNNNNNNNNNNNNNNNNNNNNNNNNNNNNNNNNNNNNNNNNNNNNNNNNNNNNNNNNNNNNNNNNNNNNNNNNNNNNNNNNNNNNNNNNNNNNNNNNNNNNNNNNNNNNNNNNNNNNNNNNNNNNNNNNNNNNNNNNNNNNNNNNNNNNNNNNNNNNNNNNNNNNNNNNNNNGCGCGCCGUGAGCGCGAGCAUGGCCAACGGGCGCGUGCGGGGCGGUGACCGCGGGUGGUGGCUACGUCGAGGAGGUCAGAAGGGGGACAGGGGACGGCGCGUUUGGCGCAUGAGCUCAUCGCGGGAGCGUGCGGUCUAGGCAGAGAGCUUGGGGGGGUUCUGGGAGGUCCGACGAGGGAGAGGAUGAGGCGGACGACGGCGACGGGGACGAGGCAGCCCAGCAUCAGCGCAGUCGCGGACGAGGUGGCGAGGGCGUCCAGCGAGGCGGGGCUCCACGGAGGAGGUUCGGCGAGGGAGGAGAGGCCUCCGGGCGGCGGGCGGCGGCGGGAGCACCGCGGGGUCGAGCCUCGAUCUGGAUCGAGGGGAGGAGAGCGGGCGACGUGGGGAGAGUGGAGGUGAGGGAAUCGGGGAAGUGGGUGGGGGUUAGGGUUCGAGGAGGUGGCCUUGUAUGCCAUAGGUAGUGGGGGUGGGCCGGCUGGGCUGCGCGGUUCAGCUGGGCCGAGGCCCAGCCAGGGGGAAGUCCUGAUGUUUUCUCCCUUUUCUUUUAUUCUGCCUCUGUUUCCUAUUUAAAAGAGCUACUAAAAUAUCUUUAUUGAAUGUGGCACUUUGCACAAAAAUAGAUAGGAGCAAAGUGAAGCUGCAUAAAAAGUUUGGGGUCUGAAGGAGUUGGCUAACCAUUUUUAGAAAUUGGAAAAGCUAAUGUAAUUAUUGUUGGACCACAAAAUAAAAUCCCAGGGGCAUUUUGGGAACUCAAAAGAGGUUGGUUCCAACAUGAAAAAUAUCCCAGGAUUAUUUGCCACACUUUGAACAUUUUAGUUUUCAUGUUUGACAAACUUGGAUUUUUGACUUUAAAUUUGAAUUUGAAUCCGAAGAAUGAUUUGGAUCAAGUGGGGAUUAGCAAUAGUAAUGUGAUGAUGUGGCACCAUUAAUAGGGGUUUAAUAUAGCUUAAUUAUCUGGGCGUCACAAUUCUCCUCUACUACAAGAAAUCUCGUCCCGAGAUUUAAGGCAUGUAAUAAGGGGGAAGCUAUAAGGAUGGACGUAUGACAGGAUCGACAUCCGGUAGUUAUCUCAAGGAAGAAGAUUUUAGAAGCACCAGGAACGCAUCGAGAGUGCUAUAAGAAGGCAUAACAUGUCUCAACUAGGUAUGCAUCCAGCUGAUGCAUAAAACAGGUGAUGAAGGGGUCCAGAGCAAUGGGAAAAAGUAUUGCGUCUGAUACCAGAAUAGAUCGCUAGGAAGGUGGCUCGUGAUUUACGUACGAAGCCAAGUGCGAGGAAUAACUUAGAAAACUGGGAUGUACAUGAGAGUCAGGUUUCGAUCCUGUGGAACUGUGGGUUAUGGACCCACCAUGUAAGUUAAUACCAGGAAUGCGCUAAUCAUUUUGCACGAUCAUGAUAGCAAGGCAGGUCAGAGGAUAACCUGUCAAUUAUGUUGGCAACAACGUUGGUACCAAGGGCGAGGGACGAAGAGAACCAUUUUCCUGCUCGUUAAGACAAGGCGGACCAAUAGGCAAAGUUCUCGUCCAUCGGUGGCUACCGGAAUGUCAUCAACAAUAAUAACAAGGUCUUACUGACAGAGUUGUAUAUCGAGGCAUUUACAUAAGCAGUGAAUUAUCACUUCUCAUAUAUGUUACGUUACAAGAAAGUUUAAACCAAAUAAUGGAAAGGAAAGUGUAGACUUGGAAUUAGUUAUCGGCGUUCUCGAGUGUCUAACAACUCAGAACCCGUAGAAAGUUGGAAUCAGCGAGAAUUAAUAGUUCAUGAAGAACUCAUAAGAUGUUAUGUAGUUCCGUGAUAUUCUCGAGAUACCAGAGGGUAGUACUCAAGGGUAGAGCAGAAUAGAGGUUGGACAGGUGAAAUGAUCUACAGAAGACAACUACUUCAACUUGUCCGAGAAAUGGUAUCAAAGAACAAUAUGGUCGGAACCACGGUUGCAAAGGACCAAACAUAGAUACAAGAUAAACUUAUCACAGGGGGAUUAUUAUUAUUACAGGAAGCUUCCAUGAUAAGUUCCACAUCGUGUCCAUGGGCAUGAACACAAAGUUCAAGGUCGACACCCACUUCUCAAUUGCAUAACCUUUCAUUCACUUCUCAUUUUAGACGAAGCCAUAGUGUUGAGAUUUUAUCUGGCAUAACACCAGUAGAGUAUGACCCGUGGAAGUUUCCGGGUUCAUACAGAUUAUGGAAGGCAUAGGUUCAACCCAAGUUUCCACGGUCAUACAAAUUAUGGAAGGCAUAGGUUCAACCCAUCAGGGUAUCUUAGGAACACAUACCACAAACUUUAGGAAUAAAUAACUCAAGCUCGGAAGCAAAGCAUGGUUGACAAAAGCAGGGGAUACAAUCUACAAAAGGCAUUAUGUAUCCGAGGAAAAGCUCACAAGGUUACCGAAUAUGAAGGACCCUAUUGGAUAAAACCCAACAAAGGACCUGGAGGUCCACAAUGGAUCUGAUGUGAGUAUCGGUACUCAACCAGAAGAAGAAAGAAUGCAAAGAGGUCAGGUUAUAGAAACAACUGACUAAUUCAAAGCUCAAAUGCAAAGGAAUUAUGGUUUCCAAAUCGGGGGAUCAGAAGUAGAGGCUCUGAUCAAAGACAAGUAAGUUGAAUAGACAUAGAUCGACAAUCAAUCAAGGCUUGAUUCGCUGAACACCAACUCAUGUCCGGAGUGACAUCUGAACCAAGGGGAGAAUUUUAAAUAGGACCGAUGAUCGCAGGCAUUCGCAAACGAAUAGAAUCAAAUGCUCGAAAUUAUGAUGACAAAGGAUGCUAAUGAGUAUUGCUAGACAUAUGGAAGUAACCAUACUGCAAGCAGAUAAAUAUUAGCAGAGCAUUAGUUGGAGAGGACUAUCAGAAGAUCGGAUGGAAUUCCAAAGUAUCUUGUGAAUCACAUGAACAAUUGUGGAUGAAUGAAUACUUGGCAAGCGCGAGUAAUUAUCCGUAGGGGAUAUUCAUGUGGCAAAGAACUGCAAGGUAGUAGGCUCAACGGAUUCUCAGGACAACAGAGAGUAAUUCGGGGCAUCUUCUAAUAACAAGAGCAACUGGGGAUGGAGGUAUGAACGACAAUGUAGGUAGUUACCCAUAAGGAUUUAUCGGUGGUAGGGAUCGCAACGGCGAAUGGCACAAGGGUCUCGGGAAAACAAUGGAGAGUAUCUUUAGAAUCUUCUAUUGCACCAAGCAAUCAUCUGGAGUGAGGGGCUCUCCGGGAGAAAGUAUUUGCGAGAACCUAGAGUUAGAUUUAACAAAACCAUUUAACCCGAAUAGAAGAGAGAUUAGAGUCCCAGAGUAAAGGUCAAGGAGUAAAAGAUCCUAAUACCACCCAAUGGCGACUUGGGCCCGUAAGCCACACAACCAUGUUAGUAAAACAGUUUUUCAAAGACUAGACUCAACUUCGGCCAAGGAGUUGGAAAGGGAGAUCCUACAGGCAGUCGGCUCUGAUACCAACUUGUGACGCCCCCGAUUCAAUCGUACACUAAUCAUACACGCAAAUGUGUACGAUUAAGAUCAGGGACUCACGGGAAGAUAUCGCAACACAACUCUAGACACAAAUCAAAAUAAUACAAGCUUUAUAUUACAAGCCAGGGGCCUCGAGGGCUCGAAUACAAGCUCGAUACACAAGAGUCAGCGGAAGCAACAAUACCUGAGUACACACAUAAGUUAAACAAGGGGUGCCUUAAGAACGCUAGCACAAAAGCAACAACAAUCGAAGAGGCAAGGCCUCCUGCCUGGGGCCUCCUAACUACUCCUGGUCGUCGGUGGUCUCCAUGUAGUAGCAUCCAUAGGCGGUGGCAUCUGGCUCCAGGGAUCCAUCAUCUAGUUGCAUCAACUAGAAAGAAGAAAGAAGGGGGAAAGGGGGGAGCAAAGCAACCAUGAGUACUCAUCCAAAGUACUCGCAAGCAUCAGAUCUAUACUAAGUAUGCAUUGGUAUCAAAUGGAAGGGUUGUAUCUGUGGACUGAACUGCAGAAUGCCAGAAUAGAGGGGGAAGGCGUAGCCUAUCAAAGACUAGCAUCUUCAAGCAGCUCCAAGCAUCUUGCAGCAUGUAGAAGAGUAAAGAAUAGCAGUUUAAUAUUUAACAAACAUGUUGUAACAUUAAUGCCCAGAGAUCCUUCCUCGACUCCCUGCGAGAAAGCAAUCCCGGAGCCACAUAUCUCGAGUAUCCAUUUGUAGUUGUAUAAGAUCAAGAUAUAAGUCUGAACGUCCGUUACCAUGGCCACGGCUAUUAAUAGAUAAUCUUCCCUGCAGGGGUGCACCAUGUUUCCCAACACACUCUAUCACUCUGGCCGGACACACCUUUCUGGGGUCAAUGCCCGACCUCGGAAGAUCAACACGUCGCAGCCCUACCUAGGCUCAGUAGAGAGGUCCCCGCUGGUCUACAUCAUAAGCACUCCGGGUCUUGGGCCCAUUGCCCGCAACACUCCGGGUCGUUGUGCGACGAGCCGGGACGAGCACCACCUCAUACUAGAUGGCACUGGCCCGACAGGCCCACGAUGCUGAACUGGACGUCUGACAAAGCUUUGGCUGAUACUACGACGUCGAGGCCCAUAACUAUUCUCGCAUGGUGGUUAGUGCGUAAAGGCCAAAGGCCAACUCAGAACAAAUACCCAAACCAUAGUGUAUUAUUAGCUUGCGGAGACGAGCAGAGACUCACGAUCAAAGUGACCCCGUCGCCCCGUCUCGUGGACUUACGACAAGGGCCCAAAAUGCCCGGCCAUGCCAUGUCAUUAUCUUGCGGGUGCUCUCCGGGCCCGCCCGACUUUCACCAAGGUCUCAAGUAAAGUCAUUGUAACCAUGUGUCCAAACAUCAAGGGUAAAACCCUAGGAAUCACCCCCGAUGGAUUCCACUCGAUGUAAUCAUCAAGGUGAACGUAAGAGGAACCACCCUCGAGGUUCACACUUGAGGUGUUGCACGAUAGAGCCGUAUCAGGAAUGAUGAAGGAGGAACCACCCUCGAUGACCACGACCGAAUAGCUACACUACAGAGAUCUCAUCAGGAGUGAUGUAUGAGGUUCCACCCUCGGAACUCGAUGGUAACUCUGCACAGUCGAGCAACAAAAGGUGCGUGAUGCGAUGUGAGGUGUCGGGCUCUGGUCGUCGAUCACAUUGAUCGAGUCGUCGAUGAUGAAGCAGGGGCAACAAGGACAAGGUGGGGGUCACUGAUGGAUCACUAACCAACCUAUACUAAGCAGUUUAGGAUAAGCAGGUAGGUAACAAUAGCAGGUACAAAAGCAGGCUAUGCAUCAGAAUAAGAGCAAUCAAUUACAGUAGCAAAAUCUAAUGCAAGCAUGAGAGAAUAGAAUGGGUGAUAUCAAGAUGAUCAAAGGGGGCGGCUUGCCUGGGAGCUCCGCUGAAAGGGACGAAGGGGCGUCGUCGACGUAGUCGAUCACAGGGGCAUCAGCAGCGGUCUGGGGUCUACCGGAGAGAAGAGGGGCAAGAAACAGUAAAUAUAAUGCAACAGAUGCAACACAGAUGUAUGACAAGGUAACACACAGAGCUAGGGGUGUUCUAACGGGGUGCUACACGAUACAGGUGAAGUGGGAUAACAUCCGGGAAAGUUUUCCCGGUUCUGGACGUCUGUUAGACAGAUGAGCCGGAGGGGGAAAGUUCAACGUUUGCUAUGCUAGGGACGUGUGGCGGGCGAACGGACUGCGGGUUCAAAUUCGUCUCGUUGUUCUGAGCAACUUUCAUGUAGAAAGUUUUUCGAUCCGAGCUACGGUUUAAUUUUUAUGAUUCUCCAAAGAUUUAAUGAUAUUCUGCAAUUUAAUUUAAUUCAAAAAUAAUGAGUAAAUGCUAGGUGCACCCAGAUCUGUGUACACAUAAGGGUGUGUUUGGUUUCUAUAACGAACUGGAAUAGCACGGGUCGGACCUGCCCCUGAGCCUCGUUCCUGUGUUUGGUAAGUACGUGGAACCAGAACCAAGUCGUUCCCACCAAACGAAUAUUUGGUCUAUAUGCGGAACGCGUCGAUACCUCCAAAUCGGAGGAAUCACAGGGAACCGGACGCUCUUUCCUCUCGCUCACCUAAAACCUAUCGCGUCUUCUUUCUCGGUGCUGCCUCCUCCUCGUCUCCCCCUCCCUGCUCUGCGCCGUCGGCUCCCUCCUCCUGAUCUGCGCCGCCGACUCGCUUGUCCCUUCCUCUCUCGAGUCUCAACUGCAGCAAAGCAAGGGAAGAAGAUGGGAUGGCAGAUCGAUCUAGGUCUGACAGCCGCUCGUGUCUGUUGCGGCGCUCCGCUUGCGGGAUGAGGGGUCGCUGGUGUUCUGGACCUCUCGUCGAUGGAUUUCCGCGAGCCGAAGCUGGGGCAGCGGCAGUGCCCGUCCCUGUGCUCUAUUCACAGUUGGCAGCAGAAUCGGAGAGUCAGCUCACCAGCGGCAAAUAACUACGAAGAAAUUCUGAUGAACAUCACGUAUCCUCGUGGCGUGGUUCUUCAACCGCAACACAACGGCAAAUAAUAAUCAGCUAGCUGGAAUUAAUCGAGGCGUUGAUUUCUUUAUGCUUGGGAGGACUUGUUAGCUGUUUGUGCUACCACUCUGUCCCAUCAUUUCUACCUCCCCAAGCAAACAUAGAAACGGAAUCAUUCCAUUAUAUUUAUUUUCUUCUACCAAACACAGAGACAGAACCGACCCGUUCCAAUGGAAUGUAACCAUGCCAUUCCAUUCCACUUGGUUCCCGAACCAAACACACCCUAAGUGUACCGGAGGGUGACAUGUGGGUCCAGGGGGUCCCAGUUGACCAGUCAAUGUUUGACUGGUCAACUGGGGUGUGGGGCCACCCUGUCAUUGACUACUAACUAAUUAACUAAUUAAUUAGGUAACUAAUCAGGUUAAUUAAGUUAAGUUAAUUAAACUAAUUAAUUAAUCAAUAUUUAUUUAUUUCAUUAAUAUUAUAUACAUUUUUUAUAUUUUCCUUUUUAUUUAUACAUUUGUUUUGUUCUUAUCCAGGGGCUGGGCCCCGUGUGUCAUAGGCACAGGGGCAAUGGGUCGGGCAAACGGGUGCUGGGGCACGGGCGAUGGCGCCUGAGGGAGUCCCGGACUAGG